rfam:Equus caballus chromosome 23, whole genome shotgun sequence.
GUCUAUGGCCAUACCACCCUGAACGCGCCCGAUCUCGUCUGAUGUCAGAAGCUAAGCAGGGUCGGGCCUGGUUAGUACUUGGAUGGGAGAGUGGGCACGAGGUAAGAGCCACUGCAGGCC